rnacentral:tRNA from 1 species
GUCAUCACCGGGCUGAUCGGGGCGGUGCUGAUCGGGCUGGCGUUCUGGUCGUCGGUGCGUUCCAACCGCGCCGAUGCCA